AGUGAACGCUGGCGGCAGGCCUAACACAUGCAAGUCGAGCGGCAGCGCGGGUAGCAAUACCUGGCGGCGAGCGGCGGACGGGUGAGGAAUACAUCGGAAUCUACCUUGUCGUGGGGGAUAACGUAGGGAAACUUACGCUAAUACCGCAUACGACCGUAAGGUGAAAGUGGGGACCGCAAGGCCUCACGCGACUAGAUGAGCCGAUGUCGGAUUAGCUUGUUGGUGAGGUAAUGGCUCACCAAGGCGACGAUCCGUAGCUGGUCUGAGAGGAUGAUCAGCCACACUGGAACUGAGACACGGUCCAG
rnacentral:rRNA from 1 species